CCAAUAGCGUAUAUUAAAGUUGUUGCAGUUAAAAAGCUCGUAGUUGAAUUUCGGAAUCAAUAUGUCGGUCGUGCCUUCGGUACGUACUGGUAUCAUUGGUUUCUCCUUUCUGACGAACCAUGAUGUCAUUAAUUUGGUGUUAUUGGGAGUUAGGACUGUUACUUUGAAAAAAUUAGAGUGUUUAAAGCAGGCUUUAGCUUGAAUACAUUAGCAUGGAAUAAUGAAAUAGGACGUUCGAACCUAUUUUGUUGGUUUCUAGGAUCAACGUAAUGAUUAAUAGGGAUAGUUGGGGGCAUUAGUAUUCAAUUGUCAGAGGUGAAAUUCUUGGAUUUAUUGAAGACUAACUACUGCGAAAGCAUUUGCCAAGGAUGUUUUCAUUAAUCAAGAACGAAAGUUAGGGGAUCGAAGACGAUCAGAUACCGUCGUAGUCUUAACCAUAAACUAUGCCGACUAGGGAUCGGAUGAUGUUAAUUUUUUAAUGACUCAUUCGGCGCCUUACG
rnacentral:rRNA from 1 species